ensembl:lncRNA
UGUCAUUUCACGGGGAGAAAACUGGAAGUCCCUGCACAAAAGGAAGGAGCGCUCACACAGGGAGUGGAAAUUUGCACUGGCUACCACAGGAUCGAAUGCUGUGUGAGCUUGGAUGCUCAGGCCCUGAUCUUUCAUUAACGUGCACACCAGGGUCAGUACUAGACAGAAGGUCUGAGAAGGUCUCCUCAUUCCUCACUCUGUACUCCUGCCUGCCCUGCACCCUCAGAGCAAGCGCCAAGGUAGGAGAGGGCAAGCAGCAGUGAGGUAGGUACUUAACCAGUCUCACUCCCAUGGGGAAGACAGGCUUGGGAGAGCUGGAGGUCUGCUCUGCUGAGCUCCUCAAUGCCGUGUGGGGUUGGUGGCUUUGUCAGCUUGGCAGUGGGGGUGUGAUGAGGGGCAGAUUUCUACACUUUUGCAGACAAAGAGAAGUACAACCUUUGGUGCCGCUGGAAAGUCACACUCAGUAGGGGCCUUAGCAUCCUGGAGCAUGAAGACCGAAGACAUUCUGCUAUUAACUCCAGAGAAAACUGUAGAGAGGGGAGUAAAAUGCAGCCCCGAGGCAAAAGAGCCCUAAAACCUUCUUAUGUCGAAGUGCACUUGUGUAUUUGAGUUCAAAGAAGGCAGGGACACAGAGGAGAAGCAACAGAUGGCUGAUAUUGCUAGGAAGUGAACUCAUCCCUUCAGUUAUCUUCUGGCCCUCCUGAGCUCAUUCUGGAGUUAUUUAGAGCCAGUUCCUCUCUGUUUUUUCUCUUUGGGAAG